rfam:Canis lupus familiaris chromosome 35, whole genome shotgun sequence.
CAAAAGGCUCUUUUCAGGGCCACCUACGUUUUCUGGGAAAGAGCUU